GACGAACGCUGGCGGCGUGCUUAACACAUGCAAGUCGAACGGUGAACCAGGGCUUGCCCUGGGGAUCAGUGGCGAACGGGUGAGUAACACGUGGGCAACCUGCCCCUGACUCUGGGAUAACUCCUCGAAAGAGGUGCUAAUACCGGAUACGACCACUUCGGGCAUCCGAUGGUGGUGGAUAGAAUUUUGGUCAGGGAUGGGCCCGCGGCCUAUCAGCUUGUUGGUGGGGUAACGGCCCACCAAGGCGACGACGGGUAGCCGGCCUGAGAGGGCGACCGGCCACACUGGGACUGAGACACGGCCCAGACUCCUACGGGAGGCAGCAGUGGGGAAUAUUGCGCAAUGGGCGAAAGCCUGACGCAGCGACGCCGCGUGAGGGACGACGGCCUCGGUUGUAAG
rnacentral:rRNA from 1 species